rnacentral:rRNA from 1 species
GCGUACCUACGGGAGGCAGCAGUGAGGAAUAUUGGUCAAUGGGCGAGAGCCUGAACCAGCCAAGUCGCGUGAAGGAUGACGGCCCUAUGGGUUGUAAACUUCUUUUGUCAGGGAGCAAUUGGGUCCACGUGUGGGCUUAGCGAGAGUACCUGAAGAAAAAGCAUCGGCUAACUCCGUGCCAGCAGCCGCGGUAAUACGGAGGAUGCGAGCGUUAUCCGGAUUUAUUGGGUUUAAAGGGUGCGUAGGCGGAAUAUCAAGUCAGCGGUAAAAAUUCGGGGCCCAAC